rnacentral:rRNA from 1 species
GACGAACGCUGGCGGCGUGCUUAACACAUGCAAGUCGAACGGAAAGGCCCUGCUUUUGUGGGGUGCUCGAGUGGCGAACGGGUGAGUAACACGUGAGUAACCUGCCCUUGACUUUGGGAUAACUUCAGGAAACUGGGGCUAAUACCGGAUAGGAGCUCCUGCUGCAUGGUGGGGGUUGGAAAGUUUCGGCGGUUGGGGAUGGACUCGCGGCUUAUCAGCUUGUUGGUGGGGUAGUGGCUUACCAAGGCUUUGACGGGUAGCCGGCCUGAGAGGGUGACCGGCCACAUUGGGACUGAGGUACGGCCCAGACGCCUACGGGAGGCAGCAGUGGGGAAUAUUGCACAAUGGGCGGAAGCCUGAUGCAGCAACGCCGCGUUCGGGAUGACGGCCUUCGGGUUGUAAACCGCUUUCGCCUGUGACGAAGCGUGAGUGACGGUAAUGGGUAAAGAAGCACCGGCUAACUACGUG